UGAUGGAGAGUUGCAUGCAACAACAGGGUCUGAGUAUGAUGUUCAAGAUCCAUCUGUCCAUCCUUGGGGAGGUCUAACCACAACACGAGAUGGGAUGCUUACCUUGUUGGAUUGUUAUCUAUAUACCAAAUCCCUGAAGGGACUUCAAAAUGUGUUUGACAGUUCACGUGGAAGGGAACGAGAAAGAGAGCUGCUUUAUCCUGAUGCUUGUGGUGGAGGUGCUAGGGGUUGGAUAAGCCAAGGGAUGGCAACUUAUGGCAGAGGGCAUGGAACAAGAGAAACAUGUGCUCUUCAUACUACCAGACUUUCUGUAGACACAUUGGUAGACUUCUGGACUGCCCUGGGGGAAGAGACACGACAGUCUCUUCUGAAAAUGAAGGAAGAGGACUUUAUUGAAAGGCUCAUGUACCGGUUUGAUAGCAAGAGAUUUUGUAGAGAUUGUAGAAG
rnacentral:misc_RNA from 1 species